rnacentral:tRNA from 1 species
GCCUAUGUGGCUCAGUGGGUUAAAGCCUCUGCCUUUAGCUCAGGUCCCAGGGUCCUGGGAUCAAGUCCCACAUGGGCG